UGGAAGGUUGGAACAGGUAGCAGGGUCAGAUUCUGGGAAGAUACUUUGUUUGGUACUUACCCUCUAGCAGUUCAAUUCUGGCAUGUUUACUCUAUUUUUAAUGAGCAAACUAAAUGCAUCGGUGAGGUCUGGGAUGGCCAGCAAUUGAUACUUUCCUUUAGAAGGAACUUUGAUGACAAGCUUAUGGAACAGGUGUACCAGCUAGUGGAGAUAGCUGGGAGUAUUGCUCUUACUGAUGAUAUUGACUUGCUAGUUUGGCAUCUUGAGAACAAAGGGUGA
rnacentral:rRNA from 1 species